GACGAACGCUGGCGGCGUGCUUUACACAUGCAAGUCGAACGAUGAUGCCCAGCUUGCUGGGUGGAUUAGUGGCGAACGGGUGAGUAACACGUGAGUAACCUGCCCCUGACUCUGGGAUAAGCCUGGGAAACUGGGUCUAAUACUGGAUAUGACAUUCUCCUGCAUGGGAUGGGUGUGGAAAGGGUUUCUGGUUGGGGAUGGGCUCGCGGCCUAUCAGCUUGUUGGUGGGGUGAUGGCCUACCAAGGCUUUGACGGGUAGCCGGCCUGAGAGGGUGACCGGCCACACUGGGACUGAGACACGGCCCAGACUCCUACGGGAGGCAGCAGUGGGGAAUAUUGCACAAUGGGCGGAAGCCUGAUGCAGCGACGCCGCGUGAGGGAUGACGGCCUUCGGGUUGUAAACCUCUUUCAGUAGGGAAGAAGCCUUUCGGGGUGACGGUACCUGCAGAAGAAGCGCCGGCUAACUACGUGCCAGCAGCCGCAGUAA
rnacentral:rRNA from 1 species